rnacentral:rRNA from 1 species
UAGGGAAUCUUCGCCAAUGGACGAAAGUCUGACCGAGCAACGCCGCGUGAGUGAAGAAGGUUUUCAGAUCGUAAAACUCUGUUGUUAGAGAAGAACAAGGACGUUAGUAACUGAACGUCCCCUGACGGUAUCUAACCAGAAAGCCACGGCUAACUACGUGCCAGCAGCCGCGGUAAUACGUAGGUGGCAAGCGUUGUCCGGAUUUAUUGGGCGUAAAGCGAGCGCAGGCGGUUUCUUAAGUCUGAUGUGAAAGCCCCCGGCUCAACCGGGGAGGGUCAUUGGAAACUGGGAGACUUGAGUGCAGAAGAGGAGAGUGGAAUUCCAUGUGUAGCGGUGAAAUGCGUAGAUAUAUGGAGGAACACCAGUGGCGAAGGCGGCUCUCUGGUCUGUAACUGACGCUGAGGCUCGAAAGCGUGGGGAGCAAACAG